rnacentral:tRNA from 1 species
GUCCCCGUAGUUUAAUGGAUAAAGCAAGGGCCUCCGAAGCCCUAGAUAGAGGUUCGAUUCCUCCCGGGGACA